UGUCCUCUGACCAGACACUCAGUGGGACCUCUGUGGGCGUGAGCCCCUCCCCAGGGUGAGAAGUCCCGUCCUUGGACUUCACCAUCCAGUCCACUAUCCCAGCACUUUUCACAUUUCCUUGUUUCUCCUGCUCUGGCUGCUUGGGGAGCAGAGAGACUCGGGUGCUUCUCUAAGCUCCUCCUUCAAAUACCAACUAUGAUUCAUCUCAAAGUUGCAGACACUUGGGUCAACUCCUGGUGAGGAUGAGGACACAGGAGACAUGGAGCUGCAAGGAGAAUUGAAGCCUGUUUAACGAAAGGUCCUUGCUCAUUUUUCAUUUACUGUCAACUGCCAAGAGGGAGAAAGCAAAUAGACUUCGGUCCUCCAAGUGCACCUUUCUGUCCCCCUCUUCACUGAUCCUUUUCGCGCUCGUCCUCCACACUCCAGCCAGGAGGCAACAGCAUCACUCAGCAAAGGUUCCCAGGUACAACCCGAGUCACCAGAGCUCAUAAGGAAUGUGCGUGCUGUCGCAGCUACGUGAAGUAUUUCCAUGACCUGAGCAUCGACUGCAGGACCGUGCUAGAGGAAGCAGCAAGAUGAGUCAAAUCCUGUUUUUAAAAAUGGAUUUAUAAGUACAUGGCCAGUGUAUGGAUUCCAGGCUUGCGUGGCACUGAUUGAUCCUUUCACUCUCUGAUCAUCCAUCAACAGUGUUUGCUGUCUUACUCUGGGGUACUUAGCAUUCCCCAAGGACCCUACUUCUUCUAAAGCUUAUAAAGUAUCAGAUCUCACUUUCAGCUGCUUAUGAUUCAGUUUGAAUGGAUUGGGGUGGGAGGGUAAGUAGACAAGAAGCUAAGAAUAACACAAACAAAAUAAUGAGAAGGGAUGUAUCGUUCACUCCCUGAACACAUGUUAUUGUGCACCAAGACACGAGAUUCUGCGAGGGCUAUGAGGAAGGAGUCUUUGUUUUGAUGUCUGAAACCUGAGAGAUGCAGACAGAACUGACUGAGGGAGAAGGAACAUCAAUCUCUUGGAAUUAAGCAGAAGCAUAAUGUAUUUCAGGGGACUUUAGGAGAACAAAGACACAUCGUGGGGGCCCAUGGAAAGAAAUAUUUCCAGCUACCCUGUGAAGGGAGAGAUGAGAUCCAAAAAUAAAGGAAAACCUUUAAAUUCAGGAAAUUCUCUCCAAGAUCACUUCUAAGAGAAUUGGGAUUCAACAUCCCAGAGCUUUUAAGGCAAGCACUGUUCUCUGUACAUCAUGCCCUCUUUCUAAAGACCACAAGUCAGUAAAAAAAAAUGUUAUUGAUAUGAUUUCUACAUUGCUUUUUGGUGGCAGUUUCACCCCACUUGCAAUGCUGAAAACAGGUGGGACAGACAAAGAUGUUCGUUACUGAGAUUGGAAAAGCUGAAGUUCUGGAAAUCAGACUAUAAUUUAUGUUGCAAAACACAAGAAAAAUGAUUCUAAAGAAGAAUGAGAGUAAAGGAUUGGAGCAACUGAACUGAUGACCACUUGCGAAACUUGUGACAGGUCACUCCUACAUAUUACUACUUUCUUUUUAACAAAGACUUCUAGAAAAUUACAUAAAAUAAAGAAAUGAAGAGAGAGAAAGAGACAGAGACAGAGACAGAGACAGAGAGACAGAGAGAAACAGACAAAGACAGAGAGAGAGAGUGUGGCAGGCCAGGUUGAAAGAGAACAUGCCAGCAGACAGGACCGGCGCUCUCCUUUCCAUAGUGGAGAAUUGUGAGGUUGUCCUCAGAAGCCCCAGAGAUGAGAAGAGGACUUCGGUCUUGUUUAGGUUUGCCCCAGGUGCUAGUGUUAGAUAAACCAAAGGAAGGCUGAAAUUGGGGGUUAGUGUUUCCUUCCAUGUUGGGAGAAUAUUUUAAUGAUUGAUGCUGGCCAUCAGUGAGGAAAUGAUGUGCUUUUGUGCCACUACAGUCAAAGCGUAAGUAAAAGGCUGCUGGCAGGAAUGCAGGAGAAGUCUGCUCUGCAUGAAAGAAGAAAAAUGUUGACAUUCCAUCAAAUCCAUUCAUGUUCUAGGUGUCUUUGUCAAGCUUGAAGUUAUAUUUCAGCUAGUGCAGAUCUAAGAACUGAACCCAAGUCUUAGCCUUUAUAGCUAGAAAUUUGAGGAACAAGACUUAGGUCAGCAACAAGAAGAGUUUUGGACAGAGGGCUUUUUGCAAAAGCAAAGCGGUAAGUGCAACACGUGUGCCCCUCUCUUCAUUGUGCGUGUGGCACAGCCCUGCUGCCAUCCGAGUAUUACUGCAGAGACUAAAAGCUGGUUCUCAUAAGCAUCUCCUGCACAGUGAGGUGGGGGCCAGGAGACAGGAUGUCAGCUUUUGGAUGCAAAUCUGAGGUAUGCAAUUUAAGAAAUUUAUCCUUUUGCCCUCUGUGGAUCUUCUCCUCUUCAAAUAGGAAAUUCAACUUUUAACAAGAUUAUGGGCUCAUUUGUUACGGGUUGAGUUGUGUUUUGGCAAAAAUGGUUUUUUUGUAGUCCUGAGUUCCUGUAAUUUAACAUACUGCCUUUUGUGGAAAUCAGGUCGCUAAAGAUGAAAUCAAUUAAGAUGAGAACAUUCUGCAUGAAGGUGGGUACCAACCCAAAUGAGAGUGUGCUUCUCAGGCUGUUGGUACAAGAAGUCUGCCCUUUGACAAGGAAGGAGUGUGCUGGGGGCAUCUACAAGCCAAGAGACAACCAAUAUUGCAGUGAAACCAGGAGCUAGGCAGGGACAGGGAAUGAUUCUCCUGUAGUUUUCCAGGGUGCCUUGUGGACACAUUGAUCUUGCACUUCUGUCUUUCACAACUGUGAGACUAAGAAUUUCUGGCCUUGCUUCACACACAAGAAUCACCUCUUUACCAUUCGAGUCAAGCCCGAGGGCCGAGGAUGGGUAGGAAUUUGGCAGGGGCUUUGCCCUGCCUGGCAUUUCACCUCCUAUGUCAUAACUGCCCAAAUCUUGGGAGUGUUAGUAAAUUAGAGAGCGAGAAUGAGUUCAGUGGCCAUGGGCAUGGUUUCCAAGCUGAUUUGAUUGACCUGCUGCUUUGGAAUUUAUUUUAGCUAUUUAUAAAAUAGGGCCAAACUCAAAUUUUCCCUUUUCUCAUCGUCAGAAUAAAAAAGAUUAAAAACUCUGAGAAGCAGCUUUUGGCAGUAGAGGGAUCUAAUGCAGGAUGAGCAGCAGAUGCCACAGACCAGGGCUUUUCUCGGGAAAGGCAGGAAACCAGCACUGGACAGAAUAGCGGGGGAAAACUCAAAGGAUCUGAAACUAGGGAGUGGUUAAUAAAGUAGACAGGACACACUCAGCAGGCUAGAGGCUCGUUCAGAGGUCAGUAUGUGGUACACUCCAAGAGGGGACAGGCAAGGUGGAGUCUGUGAGUGCUCCAGACCAGCUGAGAGGUUGCUGUCUCUGCACAGGCUUGGCCCUGGACUGGGUAUGAGCACAGACAGACACAGGAAGGACAGACAGAGCAUCCUGAGGCCUAGGAGGCUCUGCAGGAGAGAACAUAAGGUAUUUUAAGAGGAAACUGGGUUUAAUCUGUGCCGGCAGACAGAACUGCUCACCUUCUGCCUGGGUCUCAACAGGCUUUCUCAGUAUGCAUCAAUGAGGCCAGCACACCACGCAUUUUAAUUCGAUGAAAUUAAGACAUUAAAAACUGAUAUCCAAUGGGAGCAGAAUAAAGGGUAGUUUAUGCAAUCAUAAUUAUUCUUCAGAGUAACGCAAGUUCUGAGUGCUGGUGCUUGGCACAUAGAUCCCAGCUAUUUUUAUAUUGAACUGUACUGUUUGCUUUAGAACAAUAAACAUCAACUCUUUCAUAUUUCAAAAAAACAAAAUUCUAUUGCAGUUUGGAAACAGUCUGAAAUUCACUGUCUUUCUGUGUUAUUUUCUCAUUAGAGUUUUGACCUACUCGUUUCUAACCCACAAGCUUCAAGUUUUUCAAUCUCUAGAGCAGAAGCAUUGUGCCAAAUAUCAGUCCAAUAAAGGCCAAAGCAAACCCGUCUCAGGAGAGGCCCACAUCUGCCAUCCCUGCUCCUCAGUGUGGCUGUUGCCAAUGAAGGAGGGAUCUGAAAACCCAGACUGAGUACCACAAGUGUGAAAGUGGGGUGUGGUGCCUCCCCAGAGAGUUCAGUAAAGGUCACACUCCAGCCAGGAGUGUGGAGCGUAUAUAAUCAGUUGGGGAUGCUGGGGGUCAUAUAAUGAUUUGGUAAGAAUUUCUUUCAUGUAGUAAAGAGACAAUAAAAUGAUUGCCAGUAAUGGGAACCAAUCUUCCCAGAGGUAUAAAGAAACAAGGCCUGCCUUCUUUGGGUUGCAUAUAUCUUUUAUUUGUGGCACACUCUACAACUUUUGGAUGGAGGGAUGUAUUUUUCCUGUUAGGAAACAAUCCAUAAAUUGUAGUCAGCACACUUGCUUUACCUGUAGGUAAGAUGUGAUUCGCAGACCCUACCAAUGGUACCUGUUACUAAGCACCACUGGACAUUAAUUUCUCUCCCAGUAUUACCUCAGAGGACCAUCUAAAACCCCUGUGAUGUGGUAUUAGCAUCUAUCUCCAAAUGAGCCUCUGUGGUCAUCACACCUUCAAGGCCAUGAACUUAAUAAGAACCACAACUAGAACUGAAAAUCAAGACUGGUCUACCUGGAAGAAAAUUUCUAGUGGUGGAAUUUGAACCUAGUUGUGAAUGAAGCAGGAAUUAUUUUCUGACCAAAAGUCUCUGCUUGUGGGAACAAGUCAUUGAGGAAAGCUAGAAGAAAAAGCAGCGGUAUGGACAGAGCGUCCCCUCUGCUGGGGACCCUUGAUGUCCCUUUCACUCCCAAAACACACUGGACUGAUUCAACACUCAGCAAUGGUGCUUCCUUCCAUUGCUUUAUAUUGUCUCUCAGCAAGAAGUGGGCUGUGCAUUGUCUUGUUUUGUUGGUCCUAGACCUUGGGGCUUUUUGUUAGUUAGUUAGUUUGUUUGUUUGUUUGUUUGUGUUUUUUACUGGGAAUCGAAUUCAGGCCCUUGUGCUUGCCAGGCAGGAGCUUGUGCCACUGAGCUAUAACCCCAGCCCAGUUGUCUCCUUUUGGCCUCUUUCAUCUCUUUCUCCCACUGUCCAUGUCCAUAUACUUCCCAGGAAGUUGGACCUAACAAGGACAUCGGGUGAUGGAAAUUUUGCUGCUCACUUUUGAGGUGCUGGGUUCUGGGUUGAGUUCUUUAUGUGGAUUUUCUCAUUCAAUCCUCAAAAUACUCAUGAAUAAAAUGGCAUUUUAUCUCCAUCUUAUAGAUGAGACUAUUGCAUCAUAUUUUUUUCCUCUCUGUCUUUUAUCUCCCUAUUACAUUAAAAUAUUUCCCUCAGACUAAGGAAUUAUUACCUGAGAAGGAACACAUCUCCUCCUAAAAGUAAAAAUGUAAACACAAAGACGAUUCCUCUUUUGUCCACCCUGCCAUCCAGCCUGAAGAUCUUCAUUUUGUCUGCAGUUAUCCACAAUAGUUCACCACAACCCAGUGCCAGCUCGCAGGCAGGGGAGCUGAGAUUAUUUAGAUUCUCAUAGCAUAGCAGAUAAUGAAUAAAACAUACCAGGGAGUAGAGGCUGCCCCAUCAUUGCUGUCUUUAUUAAGGUGCUGAUCUACAAGCAGCUCCACCUCCAGCCCUGUCCUGCCCCAGUUGGCAUGUGUUUAGAAGAGGAACAUGACAAGUCCACGUAAAGAAGAUGAAAGAGGACCUGGAGCAGGGAACAAUGGGCUGGCUAAUGUGCAGAAAUAAACUUUACAGUGCAGGGCAGGGUUACCAUAAACCUCCUCUGCACUGUGCAACACAGGUUCUGAGGGAAGUAAGAUACCUUGGCUGGUGGCUUUGCUCAGGAUCCUCCAGGGAACUCUAGUCUGCACACACAUACACGCGUACACCGUUUGUUGUAGCUUAUACCUAGAUGCCUCCACCCAAAGCCUUAUGUACUCAUUGGUAAGGCUUUUUAGAGUGCUGGAUUUAGGGUUUAUGAAUAUAGAUUAAAGGUCUGAUAACUACAUUAGUCCACUAAUUGGCUUAGCAUGACUCUGGAUAUGGAUAAUAAGAAGGCCCUCCCUGGGUGUAGGUUGCAUUCUGGAUGGUAUAAAAAGGAAAGAGAGGCUGAAUGCUGCUGUUUGCUGCUUCCUGCCUGCCCUGCCAUGGACUGUUUCUCCUCUGUGAUGUCCCUCUGCUAUAUCACCUGCCUUGGAGUAAGCUGACUAUGGACUGAAGCCUCUACUGACUGUGAGAUAAAAUAAACCUUUCCUCAUUUAACUUAUGGUUGUCGAGUAUUUUGUCCUAACAAGGAAGAAGUAACUCUCUGGCUAUAUCUUUCCUUCCACACAAUAGCUGUUCCUGAGCUCCAUGUCAGCUGCAAACUUUGGCUCUAGGGAGUCAGGGGCUGCAUUUCCCCAGAAACACCUCAGAAGUUGCCGGGGCUUAGCUCCUGAGGAUGGAAAUUGGACUCACUGAGGAUGCCACAUACAAAUGAGACCAAGUGGCACAUUUUUACACUUCCCAAACAACUUUUAAAGGUUAUCCUAUGUAUGCUUCUGUCUCUUCUCUGAAUAAAUUCAAAAAUCAUUUCA